CCUACGGGGGGCAGCAGUGGGGAAUAUUGGGCAAUGGGCGCAAGCCUGACCCAGCAACGCCGCGUGAAGGAAGAAGGCUUUCGGGUUGUAAACUUCUUUUGUCAGGGAAGAGUAGAAGACGGUACCUGACGAAUAAGCCACGGCUAACUACGUCCCAGCAGCCGCGGUAAUACGUAGGGGGCAAGCGUUGUCCGGAUUUACUGGGUGUAAAGGGCGUGUAGCCGGGUUGACAAGUCAGAUGUGAAAUCCUGCGGCUUAACCGCAGAACUGCAUUUGAAACUGUUGAUCUUGAGUACUGGAGAGGCAGACGGAAGUCCUAGUGUAGCGGUGAAAUGCGUAGAUAUUAGGAGGAACACCAGUGGCGAAGGCGGUCUGCUGGACAGCAACUGACGGUGAGGCGCGAAAGCGUGGGGAGCAAACAGGAUUAGAUACCCGAGUAGUC
rnacentral:rRNA from 1 species